UUCCAGAAAAUGCCCACGCAAUUCUUGUUACUCAUAGCAUAUGGUAAUUUUGGUAGAUAAAGCCAUAGCGCAAACGCUGUGAAUUUGAGGAAUGGUCUUUGGGGGUCACUUGGUGAGAAAUACCCCUACUCAUUUUUACCCUUUUAUAGAAAUCUGUUAGUUAAGGACACUGGAAGUCUUGCCAAUUAACUACAGUUACAAACAGGCUAGUUUAUAACUCUGAAAAGCUCCUUUAGCUGUUUCCUUUUGCAGCUGUUUACCUAUUUCUCGGGCCUUAUUGACAGGAGAAAGGCCCACAUCUAUUUGAGAGAAAACAUGUGGUCCUCUUGUUGCACGCCUGACCUUGUAGCCUUGUCCACAUCUUUAUACACAAUGAAAUACUUGUUUAAGCCGGCAUCAGCCCGUCUCCCCACAUGAAGCCCGGGCACAGCGGGGUGGGCCUGCAGACUCCACACGCGCGCACCGCCAUGAGACGAGCGGGGCCAGGGCGCAGCGGCGCGGCCGAGCACGCCCCGCACCCGUCCUGCCCUUCGCCGCGAAAUGGCGGCCGCGGCCGCCCGCGCUGCCGAGCGCACCCCGGGACACCGGCUCCGAGCCUCCCGCAGUGGAGAGCGGACGGCUCUGCCCACGGCCUCCCAGAGGAGCGGGAACCCAUCCACGGGCAGACGAAGGGCCUCCGGGAGACCUGA
rnacentral:lncRNA from 1 species